GGAGAUGUACUCAAGUGGUCUAAGAGGUUGCACUCGAAAUGCAAUAGGUCCGCAAGGGCGCAUGGGUUCGAAUCCCAUCGUCUCCG
rnacentral:tRNA from 1 species